rnacentral:rRNA from 1 species
AGUGAACGCUGGCGGUAGGCCUAACACAUGCAAGUCGAACGGCAGCUCAGUAAGAGCUUGCUCUUACGGGUGGCGAGUGGCGGACGGGUGAGGAAUACAUCGGAAUCUACUUUUUCGUGGGGGAUAACGUAGGGGAACUUACGCUAAUACCGCAGACGACCUACGGGUGAAAGCAGUGGAUCUUCGGACCUUGCGCGAUUGAAUGCGCCGAUGUCGGAUUAGCUGGUUGGCGGGGUAAAGGCCAACCAAGGCGACGAUCCGUAGCUGGUCUGAGAGGAUGAUCAGCCACACUGGAACGGAGACACGGACCAGACUCCUACGGGAGGCAGCAGUGGGGAAUAUUGGACAAUAGGCGCAAGCCUGGUCCAGCCAUACCGCGUGGGUGAAGAAGGCCUUCGGGUUGUAAAGCCCUUUUGUUGGGAAAGAAAAGCAGCAGGUUAAUACCCCGCUGUUCUGACGGUACCCAAAGAAUAAGCACCGGCUAACUUCGUG